AAUCACUUAGUUCCUUGAUUUUCUCUUCUUUUUCGCUCAAUUCACGUACACACACAAAGUUUCAGCCACACCACAUUCAAAUCAAGAGCAAAUCACACAAAAAUGGUUAAACCCAACAGCUGUUGGUAGAACAGUGCAAACUGAGCCUCCUCUUCAAGGUUUUCAAGUUUGGCCGAAAAUUACCAACUUGGAUGAUGAUUAAGGUUAUUUAGAAGAGGAAGAUUGAGAUGAGCCCGACUCGAAGAAGAGACUGAAGCUGGUUGUGAUUUACUUGGAAACUACUCAUAUUCAAUAGCAGAUAUUAGAAAGAUGCUUUAAUGAUUUCCUUAUUAGUAAAAGGCAUUUGAAGACAAUACUUGUAAUGUUAAAGUGUAACUAAGAGCUAGAUAAGUCCAUUACUAUGAUGUACAAUUUAAAGCUAUGAAUGAAGUUGGGAUAUUAGUUUUAUUC